rnacentral:rRNA from 1 species
UUUUUGAUCAUGGCUCAGAUUGAACGCUGGCGGCAGGCCUAACACAUGCAAGUCGAGCGGAUGACGAGAGCUUGCUCUCUGAUUCAGCGGCGGACGGGUGAGUAAUGCCUAGGAAUCUGCCUGGUAGUGGGGGACAACGUUUCGAAAGGAACGCUAAUACCGCAUACGUCCUACGGGAGAAAGCAGGGGACCUUCGGGCCUUGCGCUAUCAGAUGAGCCUAGGUCGGAUUAGCUAGUUGGUGAGGUAAUGGCUCACCAAGGCGACGAUCCGUAACUGGUCUGAGAGGAUGAUCAGUCACACUGGAACUGAGGCACGGUCCAGACUCCUACGGGAGGCAGCAGUGGGGAAUAUUGGACAAUGGGCGAAAGCCUGAUCCAGCCAUGCCGCGUGUGUGAAGAAGGUCUUCGGAUUGUAAAGCACUUUAAGUUGGGAGGAAGGGCAUUAACCUAAUACGUUAGUGUUUUGACGUUACCGACAGAAUAAGCACCGGCUAACUCUGUGCCAGCAGCCGCGGUAAUACAGAGGGUGCGAGCGUUAAUCGGAAUUACUGGGCGUAAAGCGCGCGUAGGUGGUUUGUUAAGUUGGAUGUGAAAGCCCCGGGCUCAACCUGGGAACUGCAUUCAAAACUGACAAGCUAGAGUAUGGUAGAGGGUGGUGGAAUUUCCUGUGUAGCGGUG